rfam:Myotis brandtii contig301689, whole genome shotgun sequence.
CGUGCACCGGUGGGGUCCCUCGGCCUGGCCUGCGCCUCUCGCAAUCCAGGACCCCUCGGGGGAUGUUGGAGAGUCAGUUUCAGCCUUAUUUCCGCAGGCCAGGCUGAGGGACCCCACCGGUGCAUG